rnacentral:rRNA from 1 species
CAGGCCUAACACAUGCAAGUCGAACGGUAACAGGGAAAAGCUUGCUUUUCCGCUGACGAGUGGCGCACGGGUGCGUAACGCGUAUACAAUCUGCCUUGUACAGGGGGAUAGCCUUUAGAAAUGAAGAUUAAUACCCCAUAGUAUGGUGACUCGGCAUCGAGAUAUCAUUAAAGUUUCGGCGGUACAAGAUGAGUAUGCGUCCUAUUAGCUAGUAGGUAUGGUAACGGCAUACCUAGGCAACGAUAGGUAGGGGCCCUGAGAGGGGGAUCCCCCACACUGGUACUGAGACACGGACCAGACUCCUACGGGAGGCAGCAGUGAGGAAUAUUGGACAAUGGGCGCAAGCCUGAUCCAGCCAUGCCGCGUGCAGGAAGACUGCCCUAUGGGUUGUAAACUGCUUUUGUACGAGAAGAAACCUUCCUACGUGUAGGAAGCUGACGGUAUCGUAAGAAUAAGGAUCGGCUAACUCCGUGCCAGCAGCCGCGGUAAUACGGAGGAUCCAAGCGUUAUCCGGAAUCAUUGGGUUUAAAGGGUCCGUAGGUGGAUUAGUAAGUCAGAGGUGAAAGCCUGCAGCUCAACUGUAGAACUGCCUUUGAUACUGCUAGUCUUGAGUCGUUGUGAAGUGGUUAGAAUAUGUAGUGUAGCGGUGAAAUGCAUAGAUAUUACAUAGAAUACCGAUUGCGAAGGCAGAUCACUAACAACGUACUGACACUGAUGGACGAAAGCGUG